rnacentral:lncRNA from 10 species
UCAACUGCACCAGAAGGCCUGACAGUUAAGAGAACCCAGUGAAGAAACCUUUUGCAGAGAGAGAAAAGAACCCUUUUGAAUGUGAUCAAUCACGCUGAUUUAUUUGGAUGAUUUCUCUUCUGGAUUUCCUUAAACCAGGGAAAACCCAGGGACAGAGGUCUUGCUAUGUUGCCCAGGCUGGUCUCAAGCUCCUGGCCUCAAGCGAUUCUCCUUCCUCAGCCUCCAAAAGUGCUGGGAUUACAGGUGCAACAGUGACCCGUGACGCAGUAGGGAGGGCUGUUUUCCAUGCCCAGUGAGGCCUGCUCAGCUCCCAUUAGGCCUUUAUGGAUGGCCUGCCUCCCAGCUGGUACCUGGUCCCGUCACAGUCCCAGGACUCUAGACCUCGAGGCAGCCAGGUGGGUGCUACAGAUGGUGACCUCUCGGUGGCACAGCCUGGCGCUGCAGCAGAAUGCAGGGUUGGGGGCGGGGUGAAGAAUGGAGUCUGGAUUGUGCCAAAACAGGAGUUUCUAUGUCUGGUCCUGCCACCGACUGCACCUGCAUUGCUGCGUGACCUUGACAGCUACUCCUUCCACACCUGAACGUCCUCAUCUGGAAACUGGACUUGCCUCCUAGGGUUCCUGCAAAUAUAAAAUGAGCUAAUGCCUUUGAGGUGUUUGCUAUUGUCCUGGCACUUGGCAAACACAUGAUAAAUAUUAGCAAUCACUUGCGAGGGGGUGUGGGGUUCGGGGGAGCUUUGCCCCUCCUCCCCCUCUCCAGGGCUGAGCAGCAGUGAAGAGCUUUCUGCAUAAGAGAGAGCAAGAGAGAUAAAUAAACCCACAUCUUCCUCUGAAAG